rnacentral:rRNA from 1 species
CACAGGGAGGUAGUGACAGGAAAUAACAAUGCAGGGCCUUUUGGUUUUGCAAUUGGAAUGAGAACAAUUUAAAUCCCUUAUCGAGUAACAAUUGGAGGGCAAGUCUGGUGCCAGCAGCCGCGGUAAUUCCAGCUCCAAUAGCGUAUAUUAAAGUUGUUGCAGUUAAAAAGCUCGUAGUUGAACCUUGGGCGCGGUGCAUCAGGUCGACCGCAAGGUCUGACUUGGUCGCCAAGCCUCUUUUGAGGGACUCGUCGUUCUGCGGCGAGGCAACUCAUGUUACUGUGAAGAAAUUAGAGUGUUUAAAGCAGGCUAUCGCUUGAAUACAUCAGCAUGGAAUAACAAGAUAUGACAUUAGUCUUCUUGUUGGUUUGGAGAUCAAUGUAAUGAUUAAUAGGGCCAGUUGGGGGCAUUAGUAUUCAGUAGUCAGAGGUGAAAUUCUUGGAUUUACUGAGGACUAACUAGUGCGAAAGCAUUUGCCAAGGAUGUUUUCAUUAAUCAAGAACGAAAGUUAGGGGACCGAAGACGAUCAGAUACCGUCGUAGUCUUAACUAUAAACGAUGCCGACUAAGGAUCGGCAGAAGUCGUUAGCGACUCUGUCGGCACUUUGUGAGAAAUCAAAGUUUUUGGGUUCUGGGGGGAGUAUGGUCGCAAGGCUGAAACUUAAAGGAAUUGACGGAAGGGCACCACCAGGAGUGGAGCCUGCGGCUUAAUUUGACUCAACACGGGAAAACUCACCAGGUCCGGACAUAGUAAGGAUUGACAGAUUGAGAGCUCUUUCUUGAUUCUGUGGGUGGUGGUGCAUGGCCGUUCUUAGUUGGUGGAGUGAUUUGUCUGGUUAAUUCCGAUAACGAACGAGACCUUAACCUGCUAACUAGUUGCUAGUACGUGAGUAUUUGCAUACUUCUUAGAGGGACUGACUACGCUUAGUAGUCGGAAGUUUGAGGCAAUAACAGGUCUGUGAUGCCCUUAGAUGUUCUGGGCUGCACGCGCGCUACACUGACAAAGCCAGCGAGUCUACCUUGGCCGAGAGGCCUGGGAAAUCUUGUGAAACUUUGUCGUGCUGGGGAUAGAUCAUUGCAAUUAUUGGUCUUGAACGAGGAAUUCCUAGUAAGCGCAUGUCAUUAGCAUGCGUUGAUUACGUCCCUGCCCUUUGUACACACCGCCGUCGCUACUACCGAUU